UAAUUCUACAUGUGGGGAAGGAUGAGAAGCUUCGACUGGGUUCGAUUCGGCGCAGCGAGCGUUGCCGCAGGCAGCGACAGCGAAGAGCGGCGCGCAGCGCUGAGUCAUCCUUCCCCCACCACCG
rnacentral:sRNA from 1 species